rnacentral:rRNA from 1 species
AAUAUUGGACACUGGGGGGAACCCUGAUCCAGCCAUGCCGCUUGUUUGAAGAAGGUCUUCGGUUUGUCACGCACUUUAAGUUGGGAGGCAGAGUUCUAGGCUAAUACCUUCAAUCUUUUCCGUUACCAACAGAAUAAGCACCGGCUAACUCUGUGCCAGCAUCCGAGGUAAUACAGAGGGUGCAAGCGUUAAUCGGAAUUACUGGGCGUAAAGCGCGCGUAGGUGGUUCAGUAAGAUGGAAGUGAAAUACCCGGGCUUAAACUGGGAACUGCUUUCAGAACUGCUGAGCUAGAGUACGGUAGAGGGUAGUGGAAUUUCCUGUGUAGCGGUGAAAUGCGUAGAUAUAGGAAGGAACACCAGUGGCGAAGGCGACUACCUGGACUGAUACUGACACUGAGGUGCGAAAGCGUGGGGAGCAAACAGG